GGAGCGUGUCCACCCUCUAGGAGUUCAGCUGGCGAAGUUAUGGAAUUAAGCUCAGUUCGAGAUCGGCCCUUUGCUGAACUGCUUUACCAUUACAUACUUGCUGGAUGAUCACUGCAACAUGUCUGACCCUGACCAGUCUUUGGACUCAAUUCUCACCCAGACUCGCUGCUCUGCAUCCUGCCCCUUGGCUGGUGAGGUCACUGCUUCCACUGGAACCAAGGUCACUUUUGACUCACAGCUCACUUUCCCUUGCAGAGCAGCCAGCCCUCACUGCUCCCUGGCACGGACCCACUGGUGUUAACUUGGCCUCUUGCUGACAAGUUCCAGAGCUGCGACUGUCUUUCCAUUAGAAGGCUGAUUCUUAUAUCCUAUCAGCAACAUGUUACUUGGCCCACAGUCUUCCCAUCAUUAUACACAUAAUAUGCCUAAUAUCUUAACAUUAAAUAACCAGUCCUAAAUUGGAUGCCUUGUUGCUCCAGGUUCUGUUCAACAGAAAGAAAGAGGAACAUUCAGAGCAUGAUUCAGAUCUCCUAACCAGUAAACUGCCAUCUGAAACAGUAAACUGCCAUCUGAAACUGCUAAUUUCUCUCCAUUAAGAAUGCAGACAGCCUACAGCAAUUGUGCUCUUAAUUUAGUCAUGUACACUAAAGCAGCUAAGUAGAAUGAAUCUAGGCCGUGCUGUCUAAGUCUCUACAUACUUCAUUAAUGUUCUAUACACAGGGGAACAUUUACAAUUUCAUCCUUUAAAUUACAAAUCCAUGUUAAAAAAGAGAGAGAAUAUCAUUUGCUUAUGAACGUGGGAUUUGUAUGCAUGCUAAUUUCUAGCAAAUAGCUCUAAUAUACAUAAAGAACAAGCAUAUCACUUUAUGAUUACACUUGUAGAUACAAGGAAAGGAAACUAAUGUUGUAACUACAUUAUGUUGCGCUCAAAGGACAUUCACACUUAACAUGGAAUUUUUUGAUCUUCAAUUAAAAGAUCAUGCUAGCUAACAUGAGCUCUAUUUAUUUUACAGCUGACCAUGACUAAAAACCAAAACCCAAUGUUUAUAUAUCAUAAGUUUAAUAUUUUCAUACUCCGUAGACUAAGACAUUUACUGUUGUCUUAAAACAUAUAUAAGCCAUGUAGAGAUGAUCCAAGGUCAAAGGAACACAAAAUAUAGGUUACAUGCCUCUCUGUUUAUCACAGGAGAUCAUAAGAGGAGUUGUUUAUUAGUAACGCUUGUUUUGAGCUGGUAUUGAUUGACCCAUAUAGCAGUGAGAUGUAUAAAGUCAUCAUCAAUGUGUUUAUAAGGUUGUAUAAAUGCAUGCAAAAAUACCUGCUGCUGCUUCUUGUCUGGUGUUUGCCACAGUAUGUUAAUGGAUUAAUCAGUCAGUUCUGCAUAUAUCAAAGGCUUUACUGCAAUUAUCCUAAGUGUCAUUUUAGGGUUAGAUGAGAAAUUUCAUAGAAUCUAUGAGAAAUCAAGCCAAGCAGCA